rnacentral:rRNA from 1 species
GCCAGACUCCUACGGGAGGCAGCAGUGGGGGAUAUUGCACAAUGGGGGGAACCCUGAUGCAGCGACGCCGCGUGGGCGAGGGAGCGCCUCGGCGCGUAAAGCCCUUUCGGCGGGGGAGAACGAUGACGGUACCCGACGAAGAAGCACCGGCUAAAUACGUGCCAGCAGCCGCGGUAAUACGUAUGGGGCGAGCGUUGUCCGGAUUUACUGGGGGUGAAGGGGGCGCAGGCGGCGCGCCAAGCCCGAUGUGAAAGCCCGGGGCUCAACCCCGGGACUGCAUUGGGAACUGGCGUGCUGGAGUGCCGGAGGGGCAGGCGGAAUUCCUGGUGUAGCGGUGAAAUGCGUAGAUAUCACGCAGAACUCCGAUUGCGAAGGCAGCAUACCGGCGCCCAACUGACGCUGAAGCACGAAAGCGUGGGUAGCGAACAGGAUUAGAUACCCGGGUACG